rnacentral:piRNA from 1 species
GACUUCCCAUGGUGAGUUCUGAAGGU